UGAUGGGCGUCGGCUGGCCAGUGGGCGUCGGCUCGUCAUUACCACCCCAUCCUCCUCGGACUCCGGGUUGUAUGUUUGUGAAGCGUCGCUUAGCAACAGCACCGCCAAAUCAGUGGAGGCGAGGGCGCACCUCACUGUCAUAGAACCACCCACUCUGACUGCGCAGCCCAAAAGGAAGAUCUCAGCCGACCUCGACAGGAAUGUGGAUAUCCCCUGUCUGGCUACAGGGGUCCCUCAGCCGAGGAUAGAGUGGUACAAGGAUGCCGUGCCCAUUUCCAAACUGGCUAACCCUCGCUACAAGGUCAACGCGGCAGCUGGGCUGACUGUGCGCCGGGUGCAGCCGGGGGAUGGAGGAAUAUUCCAGUG